UACGUAGGGUGCAAGCGUUGUCCGGAAUUAUUGGGCGUAAAGAGCUCGUAGGCGGUCUGUCGCGUCUGCUGUGAAAACUCAGGGCUUAACCCUGAGCUUGCAGUGGGUACGGGCAGACUAGAGUGCGGUAGGGGAGACUGGAAUUCCUGGUGUAGCGGUGAAAUGCGUAGAUAUCAAGUGGAACACCAGUGGCGAAGGCGAGUCUCUGGACAUUUCCUGACGCUGAGGCACGAAAGCCAGGGGAGCAAACGGG
rnacentral:rRNA from 1 species